rnacentral:rRNA from 1 species
UGGGGAAUAUUGCACAAUGGGGGAAACCCUGAUGCAGCGACGCCGCGUGAACGAAGAAGGUAUUCGUAUCGUAAAGUUCUGUCCUAUGGGAAGAUAAUGACAGUACCAUAGAAGAAAGCUCCGGCUAAAUACUUGCCAGCAGCCGCGGUAAUACGUAUGGAGCGAGCGUUGUCCGGAAUUAUUGGGCGUAAAGGGUACGCAGGCGGUUUAAUAAGUCGAAUGUUAAAGAUCGGGGCUCAACCCCGUAAAGCAUUGGAAACUGAUAAACUUGAGUAGUGGAGAGGAAAGUGGAAUUCCUAGUGUAGUGGUGAAAUACGUAGAUAUUAGGAGGAAUACCAGUAGCGAAGGCGACUUUCUGGACACAAACUGACGCUGAGGUACGAAAGCGUGGGGAGCAAACAGG